rnacentral:rRNA from 1 species
CAUCGUAAACAUAUUUGGUAUUAAUGCUUGUGAUGAUGUGGGUUUUAUGUGCUUUCGGGUACAUAGCUUGCACAUGCUUGUAUUAUUUUUUGCUAGAUAUGUCGGCGUGCACUUCUCCUCUUGUAGAACGUCGCGACCCGCUAAGUGAUGAUCUAUGGCCUGGUUGUGAGUUUUUGAUAACACUUUGGUGAUAAUCAUCGAAAAACACUAGUGACCUGAUCGUCUGCUUGACGGUAUAUCUUACGGUAUUAAGCCGCAAAUUUUUUUGCGUCGAGCUUACCGCAAGCGAGGCUAACUUAUGGUAAACGGACCUAGUGCCGUCACUGUAAUUAGCCAGUUGUUAGCAGGUAUUAUAUUCGACUGGCUUGUAAAUAUCGGUCGGCGAUGCUAUUGCUUUGGGUACUUUCAGG